rnacentral:lncRNA from 1 species
CUUCUAAUGCUUUUUUCCCCGGUGCUUAGCCCUGCUACAAAACUUGAUCAACGGAUUGCAUUCCAUUUCAUUCCACGACACAAACUUACAUUCCAUUCGUUAUUUACUCCAUGUACGUACGACACACGUGCAGCUUUAUUUAGCUCGAACUCAAACACGAGAGCAGAGAUGAAAAUGACGAACGCGUGUAAUCCGGUUCAGUACUUGGUGCAUUUGUUGGUGGAGCCGCUGUCGAGGUGGAGCACGCAGCCCUUGCCGUCCUCGGGCGCGCACACGCAGGCGCACCCGUCGAGCUUCUGGCCGGGGUAGUUCUUGCAGGUGAUGUACCCUCCCUGGAUGCACCGGAUGUUGUCGCAGGUCGCCUGCGCGUCCCCGAACACCACCAGCGCUGCUCGAUCCACAACAAACACAAGCAAGGAUACAUAAUCGUGAGAGGGAGUGAUGCUUGAUCAUAGAAAACACAAGCAAGGAUGCGAAUGGAGGCUUACCGGAGAGGAGGAGGACGAAGGUGAGUGACAGCUUCAUGGUGGCGGCCAUGCUUGCGCGUUCGUCUCUGUGCGUCGUGCGAUCUGUGGUUGCAGCGCGGUGCCGGUGCGUUUAUAUAGGGAGGCUUCGGUUCAGCUCAGCCAAACUGCAUGCUGGAUCCGCCGCCCUCUCUGACUUUGUGCCACGUAGGUUCACCGGGGAUUUGAAACAAGAUCACAUGGCAGGCGAUACUAUGUGCUCCAAUACGUACGUGCUUGCGUCGACGGCGGCUUCGUGGAUUUCAGAACUAUGGCCACGUUUCCCGUCGAUCUCAGGCAGCAUGAUUUGUCCGGCCGAUUGAGGGCAGAAAGUCAGAGGAGGUUGCCGACUUGGUCGAGCGCCUCUUCGUUUGUGAGGUGUUGCCGUGCUGGAUGGAUCAGCGGCCAACCCGUACCACUGUUUGUUCGAUGUGGAUCGGGUUGACGUACCGCUCAAAAGUCUCAGUCGUCGAGUUCACAGAUCACAAACAGUGGGACGUGACCUGCAAAGCUUUCGGCCUACUUCUUUGAGCUUGAAAAGUUAUCUUGCAUUCAACAUUGUGCUCUGGAUCCAAAAUGGUCCAGUCAAACAAUCAUCACCAUUACAUUUCUUUAUUUCCAGAGCUGCUUAUCGAGGUCCAUCGACCAUCACGCAUAUGGCAGGUUCACUGCUUCGAGUUGAAGUAUGGAGGCUCAACUUGGAUCUUUACAAAACAGUUGGCUAGCCUCUUUCCUCCUCUACAAAAAAAAAGAUCUCAGUCUUUCCUCCUCCUCCCAUCGGCACUGCCGCCAGUCCACCCCGUCUGCUAUGGCCUAUGGGCCAAAUAAUAGUGGAGGACCUCGGCCCCCACCCGCGGGAGGGACUCUACUCCCGCUUUUGUUAGGUUUAGUGUCUUCAUUAGGGUUGUGUGACGGCAGUGAUGUCCCUCGGCAGGAAUAAUGUCUCCCACAUUCGAUUCCCAUCUCGAUAGUGUGUCUAGCUUCAUCGGAGGACGUGUGGACAUGUGUCUUAGUCAGAUCUCGCGGACCCGGUCGGUGCUGGUCUUCGGUGGAUCUUUCUGGAUCUUGUGUUCGUUCAUCUUUGUUCGGGUGUUUACAGAUUUGACCCCUCCGGUCUACGACUUUCUUCAGCAGCGAUGAUUGUUGCUCCGGUGCAUUGGUCCUAUGGGAGCUUGGCACAACAACAAGAUUUGCCUGUCUCCAGUGAGGGAGGGGCGAUGACAAUGGCGCGUCUUUAGCUUGUUCCAGUGGUUACAGUCCUCGCUAGGUGGUAUAUAGACCUGAUUGUAAUUUUUAUUAUCUCUGGGGUUAUUUGUAUUGUCAUGGUUAAUAAUGAAUAAAUCAGAAGUUUCAAAGAGAAAAAAGAGUUGAAGUACGGACAAUUGACAGCAAGAUGACCAUAUGAAACCCCUUCAGCCCAACUGGGUACUUCACAUCAAUCGCGUGGAUCUUUUUUAUGAAAUCCGAAAAUAUGAUCCCAAUUUCAAAAAUUACGAUUGUAUCAUCUUGUUGUAGUUGCCGCCACCGAAGAGCCGCUUUUCAUAUCCGACUAGGACGAAGAGAUAGUUUUCGUGGCCACCUCGGAUGAAGAUGGAGUUUUCGAGGCCACCACAGACGGAGAGAGACUUUUCGUUGCUGACCGCAAUGAAGAGUGAUCGACAACCACCCCUCUCCCCCCGCGCUCGUUCCACCUACCCGCAGUUAUCGUCUUCGUAGUCUACUGCAGCAAGAACUUCCUUUUCAUUGUCAUGGCCAAUGAAAAGUCCUGGCAUAUUGUGCGAUGUCUUUCUUAUUCCUUUUCAUUUGCUCCCCCUCCCCCUCUCUCUCUCCCUCUCUCUCUCUCUCUCUUAUUCUUGUGCAACAAUUUCUUCUCUUGUCUCUACCUCAUUCCUAGGGCUCGCCGGUAUGUGAGCACCAAAGAUCGAAACAAGGAUGAAAGACCGUGGAUGUCGCCUAGAGGAGGGAGGGUGAAUAGGUGCUUUAAAAUAAUUACGCUUUAGGCUUGAACAAAUGCGGAAUAAAACUAGAGUUUAAUUUAUCAAGCACAAAACCUAAAUCAACUAGGCUCAUAUAUGUGCACCGGCAACUUAUGCUAAGCAAGAUAAACAACUAAGUGAUAGCAAGAUAUAUAACAUGAAACGUUAUGACUAUCACAAAGUAAAGUGCAUAAGUAAAUGGCUCGGGUAAGAGAUAAUCGAGGCACACAGAGAUGACGAUGUAUCCCGAAGUUCAAACCCUUGCGGACGCUAAUCUCUGUUUGAAGUCGUGUGGAGGCACAAUGUUCCCCAAAAUUCCACUAGGGUCACCGUAAUCUCCUCGCGCACUUACACAAUGCAAGAUGCCAUGAUUCCACUAGGGGACCCUUGAGGACGGUCACCGAACCCGUACAAAUGGCGACCCUUGGGUACAGUCACCGAACCCGUACAAAUGGAACCUUGGGGGCAGUCGCCGAACAUGUACAAAUUGCUCGGGGGAAUCUUCACAACUUAAUUAGAGAGACCGAAGCUUGCCCAGAGUUCUACACCAUAAUUAUUGAGCUCCGCGACACCACCAACUAUCUAGGACGCCCAAACACCCAAGAGUAAUAAACUUCUCAACUUUCACUUCCACGUACCAUCGUGAAAAACUCAAACCGGUGCAACGAAUGAAAUGACAAGAACACACGAAGUGCUCAAGUCCCUCACUCUCAAAUCUCACCAAAGCAACAAAAGCUAUGGAGGAAUAUGAGAGGAAGAACACAAAAAGAACUUCAAGAUCUAGAUCCACAAGGUUCCCUCACUAAGAGGAGACAUGGAUUGGUGGAGAAUGUGGAUAUAGAUAUCUCUCUCUUUUCCCACAAAAAGAUUCAAGAUUCAUUGGAGGAAUGGAGAGAAGGCAAAGCUUUUGGAGGUCAACAAUGGAGGAGAAAUCUUGGCCAAAGUCGUUGGGGGCAAUGGGGAAGAAGACCCCUUUUUUUAUAGUGGGAGGACAAAUCCAAUCGUUAUAUGCACUUGUCGUGCUCAAGCGGUACUACCGCUUAGCCCGGUCAACGCGACCCAACGAGUAUAGAAGUACUAGAACGACAAUUCCGUCGGAGCAGUACUACUGCCUCUGACAAGCAGUGCUACCACUAAUUGUUGAAGGGUUACAGAGGAACCAACGGUAGCCAGCACCACACUAGAGUGGAAGUACCGCACAAGCGGUACUACCGUGUCACUACCGCUUAUAAUCCAAAUAGCAAUAGAAGGCAUUUCCCAAGCAAAAGUUGGAGCGGCACCAGCCUGCGGAAAUAAUGCCUAAGCGAUACUACCAUGGACCUGAGCGGUACUACCGCCAAGGUGCUGCAAACUUGCCCAAGCACAACAGUUGAAUGCAAAAAGACCAAAAUUAUUAUAACUUCUGCAAAUGAACGCUGAUUUUGAUGAACUCCAUCGGUGAGGAACUGACAUAAACUCCAACAUCGAAAACGCAAUACAUAAACUCCGCCCAGUUCACCAAUGUCCUCUACCCCAACAUCUACAUUCUUAAGGUUAUAUUGGUCGAGCUACUCUAUUAUAACCCCGGCUUUCCUCCGUAAUAAGGGAGUUUGAUGCUCCACAACGGGGAGCUGCAUGAUCACAUUUCUUGUCGACAUCCCCGGUGAGCAUGUGCUUGCCAUCUCUCCGGCCACGUUAUCUUCACAUGAUGCUUAUGCUCUGUGCAUGGGUGAUCACCCUGCCGACAACUUUGCCACUCACAUUUGGCAUUUAUUCGCCCCUAGUCGGUGCAAAUUAUCCAUUUGGCCAUGUCAUCGUCAUCAUCUACCAUGUGUCAUCCUCCUCCAUCAUAGGUGCAACCUUGGUCGGUUGUGUCCAUCUUCGGUGGACAAGAGGAAACAAUCGAGCACAUGUUCUUCGCUUAUGUUCAUGCAAGCAUCAUUCAGGAGUAGGUGCUCCCCACUGGUCCACCAUCGAUCCUCUAUGUGAAACAGACUUGCACCUACGCCUCAUAUUUUGACCACUAAACCUUUGGAUUGCAAAAUAAUUGUUUCGAGAAUCUCUUGAUGGUUUCCGAAGCUUUCCAUGACCUCAAUUUUUGUAAAGAUAACAAUUAUGUAAGUCAGAGAUGCAUGGACCAAAAGAUAAGGAAACUGCACAAUCCAUCCAUGGUGAAUAACCCUUUGCUUUGUUUCAUAAUGCUAGCUCCAUCACAUCGCUACAUCCUCUAUGUGGUUGGGGGGGGGGGGGUCUACUGAUUGAAAGAGUAUCAGUGCUCCUCCCGCGAGCCAUUACGAUGAUGGUUGUGCUCUUGGGGUUCUGAAUGAACUGCGUAUGCCUGAACUUGUGUCCUACAACAUUAUCACAGGUGUACUUUUGUGGUGGUUGUGAUGCUCCCGCUUGGGUCUAAAACUUCACAACCCUAGACUAUUUUUUGUUCUGCUUCACAUUUUAGCAAGUGUCUUCUACUGCUUCUUUGUUGUUUCUCUUCUGCGCCAUGCAAAACUUAUGUCUUUCUUUUAGAUCAUGCAAAACUUAUCUUCUUUCUUGAGAUCACGCAAAACUGAUUUAAUAAAGUACUCCUGGUUUAAGGACACCGUUGUAACCCGCUCCCAAAACGCAGCCGCCUCCUUCCCCAAACAAAACUAAGGUUCCUUUGCCGCCUGCUGUCGCUAUCGCCGGUCCACCUCGUCUCCAGUGGCAUUAGGGCCAUGGCGGUGCAAUGGAUCCCUGCCUUUACCGGCGGGAGGGCUUCGCUUGUUAGAUGUUUCUUCGAGUUUUGUUAGGGUUUGUGUCCUGCUCAGAAAAACGAGACAAUGGUGGAUCCUUAAAAAUGGAAUAAGGUUCUUCCCGCCAAGUCUCCGUUCCGGUGGUGCAUCUAGUAUCAUCUGUGGGUGUGUGGAGGUGUGACUCCGGCAAGUCUGUCUUUGGUGAAUUUGCUCGGAUGUGGUCGUAGUUUGUCUACAUUCGUGUGUCUUCGGGUCGGAUCCUUCCAAUCUACAAUACUCUUCAACGGCGACGAUUGCUGUCCUGGUGCGCUGGUCCUAUGAAGCCUUAGCAUGACGACCUCCCGACUAUUUAGUACAACAAGUUUUGCGUGACUCCGGCGAGAGAGUGACGAAGACGGCGGCGCGCCUUCAACUCGCUUCAGUGUUUGUAAUCGUUAGGUGGUAUAUGGAUCUGUAUAUAAUUUUUAUUAUUUUUGAUGUUUGUUGUACUGCCAUGAUUAAAAAUGAAUAGAUCGGCAGUAUUCCUCCAAAAAAUAUAAAAUAAAAAAUGGAUUAACCAAAAGUUCAGUUGGGCUGUUCUGCCCCUUAUGCCUUCUAAAGAGAAAGUAACCCGCCUAACCCGUGUCUUGCAAUUAGGUUCAGUGCAACAACUACAUAAAAAAGAUAGCAACCUUGGAUCUGGUCUAGAGUUAGUGGACAACACAUACCCAUUGCAUUCUUAUCUGGACGUGCCAAUUACCCAAACUGGCCAUAAUAAGUUACCAUUAAGAGUGCGCGUGGCCGGACAUAGGGAAGAUAGGGGGAAAGAAUAUGCCUCCGGGACUUUCGGUAGUCCGGUUAGCGGGCUGCCGGACAUGAGGAAGACACAAGGAUCCGCCGAGGCCUGACAUAGCUUAGUGUAUUGUAUCCGUGUCGUGGGAGUGGAGCGCGCGACUGUAAGUGCAUAUAGUUUUACUUUUUUUGUUAAAAUAUGUCUAAAAUGUAACUUUUUUCGUUUGGUUUGUAUGAAAUUGUCACGUCUAUAUGAAAUCCGGCCAAGUUUGCAUGAAUUUCACCCGGUUAGUUGAAAACAAUAUGAAAUGUAUGCGGCUAGUGUUGGAUGACGUCCUCCCGCAUCCGUAUCUGUGGACGGACGCCGGAGAAAAUUUGCGAGUUGCCGUUGAAGAUGCCCUUAUGAAGUAUCAGGGUAUUAUUAAAUCUUUAAUAUUAUUGUGCGCGUACGUACUUUUAUGAGUUUUACCACAUUCUGCUCGGAAAUUUUAUUCGAAGCGUGUAAAGUUGAAUUACACUGCCAAACCACAGACACGCGAACAUUUUCGUUGUUCGACACCAAGCUUGCAGAGCCUUAUUGAACUCAGAUUCAAACCAACAAUUCAGCUAGAACUUUUUGGUCGUGCCGCAGUUGGUGUGGGUCACGCCGUCGUCGAGGUGGAGCACGCAGCCCUUGCCGUCGGCCGGCGCGCACUCGCAGUCGCACCCGUCGAGCUCCUGGCCGGGGUAGUUGUCGCAGGUGAUGUGCCCUCCCUG